rnacentral:misc_RNA from 1 species
GAUGAAGAACGUAGUGAAAUGCGAUACGUAAUGUGAAUUGCAGAAUUCAGUGAAUCAUCGAAUCUUUGAACGCAUAUUGCGCUCUCUGGUAUUCCGGAGAGCAUGCUUGUUUGAGUAUCAGUAAACACCUCAACUCCCCUUUCUUUUUUUGAAAUGGGAGCUGGACUUGAGUGAUCCCAACGCUUUUCUCACCGAAAAGUGGCGGGUUACUUGAAAUGCAGGUGCAGCUGGACUUUUCUCUGAGCUAAAAGCAUAUCUAUUUAGUCUGCCUAAAAAACAGAUUAUUACCUUUGCUGCAGCUAACAUAAAGGAGAUUAGUUCUUGUGCUGACUGAUGCAGGAUUCACAGAGACAGCUUCGGCUGGCCUUUGUAAACUCGAUCUCAAAUCAAGUAAGACUACCCGCUGAACUUAAGCAUAUCAAUAAGCGGAGGA